CUGAGUUACAAACUCCAAACCUUUGUGAACAUACCACAGUUGCUUCGGCGGCCUCGCCCCGGGCGCGGCGGGACCCUCUCGGGGGGAACGCGGCGACCCGGACCCAGGCGACCGCCGGGGGACCCAAACUCUUGUCUUUUAGUGUAUUAUCUGAGUGGCAUAAGCAAAAUAAAUUA
rnacentral:misc_RNA from 1 species